rnacentral:rRNA from 1 species
UACGUAGGGUGCAAGCGUUGUCCGGAAUUAUUGGGCGUAAAGGGCUCGUAGGCGGUUUGUCGCGUCGGGAGUGAAAUCCACUGGCUUAACUGGUGGCUUGCUUUCGAUACGGGCAGACUGGAGGUAUGCAGGGGAGAACGGAAUUCCUGGUGUAGCGGUGAAAUGCGCAGAUAUCAGGAGGAACACCGGUGGCGAAGGCGGUUCUCUGGGCCUUACCUGACGCUGAGGAGCGAAAGCGUGGGGAGCGAACAGG